UAGUUUCCUCCGCCACUGUAUUCACAAGGAGUAACCGAACAAAACGGUACUCUAAAAAGCAAACGACAAGAAAAAAAGGGAAAAUGCAAGAAUGCGCGCGGUCUUUUUCGUUUCUUUUGCAUUUCUCGCCACUUGCAUUUUGAUUUUCAUUUGAAAUAGCUGGUGCCUCUGUGAUUUGUGAAAUUAAUAUAUUCUUUGCGGUUUUAAUUUUCAAAAAAACUAUUUCAAAACAAAAGGGUGGACUUACAUCUACAUACGAGUAGUGUAUUUUAGGGUGGACCUAAGAACACAAAUUAAGUGAACAAAAAUAUAUUUUACAAAAUAAACACAUAUGAUACCUAUGAAUCUCCUUGAAAAAUUAUUAGAAUGGUACCAUAAUAAUAAUGUUACUAGAGAUCAACUUGAUGCACUUUUAAAAAUGUUUGAAUUCGGAAAAUCUAGAUCUUCAGUAGGAUAUUAAGUCCAAGUUUGAUAAUGGAGCUUAAUCAUGGCGGUACUAGGGACAGGGACGGUUUUGCGUCCUACAUUCAUUUAAAUGAAACAUUAUUCGAGUCACAAAGAAGAGACGGUUACCGCUUCACAGACCAUUUUAAAGACCUUCGACUGGCCUUCACUAGGGCCAAAAAUAAAACUUAUAAGGGUAAAAGUAUGGCCAAAAAGAUGAGAGAGGACGAAAACGGCCAGGAGUAAUACAAUAAGUU